rnacentral:tRNA from 1 species
GAUUCUAUGGUGCAAUGGUUAUGAUUCUGGGCUUUGAAUCCAGCGAUCCGAGUUGGAAUCUCAGUGGAACCA